AGCUUUGCGCGGUGGCAGCAUCGUAGCCAAUGAGGUUAUCCAAAGCGUGAUUAUUGCUAAUUGAAAAAAUAAAAUAAGCACAUUCUAUCCCACAUACGUGCUUCUGACCUGCCCACACUUUUGUAAUGUAUUUUUUUUNUGUCUUUUUGCCUUUUCUAGGG
rnacentral:snRNA from 1 species